ACACAUGCAAGUCGAGGGGCAGCAUUUUAGUUUGCUUGCAAACUGAAGAUGGCGACCGGCGCACGGGUGAGUAACACGUAUCCAACCUGCCGAUAACUCCGGGAUAGCCUUUCGAAAGAAAGAUUAAUACCGGAUGGCAUACGAAUAUCGCAUGAUAUUUUUAUUAAAGAAUUUCGGUUAUCGAUGGGGAUGCGUUCCAUUAGUUUGUUGGCGGGGUAACGGCCCACCAAGACUACGGUGGAUAGGGGUUCUGAGAGGAAGGUCCCCCACAUUGGAACUGAGACACGGUCCAAACUCCUACGGGAGGCAGCAGUGAGGAAUAUUGGUCAAUGGGCGAGAGCCUGAACCAGCCAAGUAGCGUGAAGGAUGAAGGCUCUAUGGGUCGUAAACUUCUUUUAUAUGGGAAUAAAGUUUUCCACGUGUGGAAUUUUGUAUGUACCAUAUGAAUAAGGAUCGGCUAACUCCGUGCCAGCAGCCGCGGUAAUACGGAGGAUCCGAGCGUUAUCCGGAUUUAUUGGGUUUAAAGGGAGCGUAGGUGGAUUGUUAAGUCAGUUGUGAAAGUUUGCGGCUCAACCGUAAAAUUGCAGUUGAAACUGGGAGUCUUGAGUACAGUAGAGGUGGGCGGAAUUCGUGGUGUAGCGGUGAAAUGCUUAGAUAUCACGAAGAACUCCGAUUGCGAAGGCAGCUCACUAGACUGUCACUGACACUGAUGCUCGAAAGUGUGGGUAUCAAACAGGAUUAGAUACCCUGGUAGUCCACACAGUAAACGAUGAAUACUCGCUGUUUGCGAUAUACAGUAAGCGGCCAAGCGAAAGCAUUAAGUAUUCCACCUGGGGAGUACGCCGGCAACGGUGAAACUCAAAGG
rnacentral:rRNA from 1 species